rnacentral:lncRNA from 1 species
AAUACUUCCUAGGUGAUUCUGACGCAGGCGCUCCACGGAAACCCUCCGAGAAUUCUGGGGGCCGUGGGGCCGCCCAGCUCAGUCCGGAGCUCCGGAACUCGGGGAAGAGCGUCCGGGAGCCGGGUCUGGGUUCCGCACUCCGUCCGCCCCGAUGGCAGAGAGUGAGAUACGGACGCCCCGGGACGAGGGGCUCAGGACCCGGCUACGGACACCUGCCUCCAUCUCCCUCCAGAUAACACAAGUGUGAAGAGAGGGGAGAGCAGCAAAGGCUGAGCUGCGUGUGCCUGGUCCCUUCCAGACUUUCCAGAUAACUUUGCCCCACGGAGGACAAGGAAAGCCAAAAGAGAGAAGCCAGGAUUGUUAGUCUUGGAAAAUGCCUCCAUAUAGAAACAUGAGCCGGAGAAUAAAUCACUUGCCUCUCUAACCAGUUGGAUUUGGUCCGUGAGUUCCUAGUUUUGUUCACCUGACUUAGUCCCUGACUUUUAAAGUCAAGUGCAUCAACAUGCUGCCAGUACUUUGAUGAACAUCUAUACAGGAUCCAUCUCUACAGCAGUGAAUUCCACCUGGGGUAAAGUAUGCAUGUAGGUUAGGAUGCUACAGUGGGACUCUGUCUGCUUUUUCUGUCUGUUUCUGCUAAGGCCUCCACACAUUAGAUGGUCAGUACUCUUUGUUCUAUGGGAAGGGCUAGAAUACCUAAACAGGACUUUCACGGAGGGAGCAACAAACCAGUUUUGUGGCUCUCAGCAAACAUCCAUCUCAAAGGUGAGUUUGGAAAUAAUGGAGAGUAUGUCAGUGUGUUUGUGUCUCAGGCCUACUUCCCACGCCUAUGGGGGAAGGGUGGGACUUAUCUCUCUCUUCCCUCAAGCCUGCUAAGAGGAGAUUAGACUAUAUUUGAGAUAAAUACCUCCAGCACAGUGACAGCCAUGCAGCUCAUGCCUGUGAAAUCAAAAGGCAAGAGGAUGCGGCUGGCUGGCUGCUCUGAGGGCAGAGAGAAAAGACCAGACAGCUCUUGGAACAGACUGUUCUUCCAGUGACGAUGGGGACAAAGAUGCAUGAGUGUAUCUCCAGGACUGGAUGUGAGCUGCAUGGGAGAAAAAGAGUGCAGGCCUGCAGCCCGGGAAAACCCAAAAGGAUGCCAUAAACCCAACAGGAAGAUGGGUUGUCAGGGCCCCAGGAGCUGAGAAAGGAAUAAAAAUGACAGAGAGAGAAAAGUACAUUGUCCACAUCAUAAAUAACACAGCUGAAUGUGCCCAAUGAGGUCCUCAGAGAACCCACAGAAGUGCCCAUGGGAACAGUUCUCUCUGGGACUCAAACCCAGGGAGAGGUGCUUUUAAACAUGCAAAGAGAGGGAACCAUCAUCAUAUUACAUUGCAGUGUCCACAUGAAUAAGACCCUAACUUACCUCAUAUUUCUCCUCCUUCCUCUGCUUUAAUCCAGGAGGAGCCAGAGACCUCUCAGUAAGUGAAGAAGAGGGGAAAUAGGUAAAAAGCCACUAUUCCCCAUGUUAGAUGAGGAAAUAGGAACAUUCUCCUCCUCUACCCAACACCCACUGUAGCUUUUAGUGGCUGGAGUCAGGAGAGAAAAGUUUUCAUGUUAAAUGAAUUUCAGAGGUUUGACUAUGACAUAGAAAUGGAUAUUUUAAUUACUGAAAUAAAACUGUUUUGUAAUUAGAGGUGACUGGAAGACAUUUUAUCCUCAGCAGAAGAAUAGAUAAGGAUAGGACCUUCCCUCCCCCUUGGACCCCACCAAGGUUUUAUCCAGAGGCAGAGGAAGAAGUAACCCUUUAUGUGAGUUUGAAUGGGCAGAAGAAGAAAAGGAUGAAGUUGUCUUCUAAUUGCACUCUAUGAAUGUUGCUUUUUUGUUAACAUAAAUGUCACAUAUAUUUUUAGCUGGUGUAACAAAAAAAAAAACAUCUCAAGCCGGCUUGCAUAAUAACAGCUUUGGGCACAGUCUGAUCAAGGCCCCGGUUCUGUUUGCUAGUGAUCCUCCUGAUUCUGCCCUCUCUCCAUGCUAGUUUCUUCCUCAGAUUGACAUUCCUCUUGGUCACCAGAUGCCUACAAUCAGCGGGUGCAACUCUCUGCUCCCUGCUCACUUCUGAAGGGGAGAGCAUGGAUACCAACCACAGAACAAAGCCCUGCAGUCUCCCGCUGAGUAGAACACCCACGAAGAAGUGUUGGCCAUUUCCCUAUUGCCAGGGAAAUAUCAUGUAUUGGUUGGAUUAGGCCUGUAUUAAUCCAGUUAAUGGAACAUAGUUAAACUAUCCCAGACCCUCCAUAGACACUAGAGAAAAGGUGAAUCCAACCCAAAUGUAAGACUGCUACUCAAUAGGACAGAAAAGGCAUGGAUGUCAGUGAAAUGGGAAAAAAAAUGUGUGCCAAAGGAGAUCAGGAAGGACUGAAUAGAAGACAUGGCCUUUGAAUUGAAGCCUUUAAUGAGGAAAGGGGAUUGACAUUGUAUGAGGGCCAGGGUGGAGAGCGGGUUGUGAAGAGGAUAGGGAAAAUGCAAGGACACUGCGGAUAUAAGAAUUAAUGGGAGAAUCAUGGGCCACAAAGCAGCAGGAUUAUAUUACAGAGAUUGUAAGUAGUGUUUAUUGAAGCACAGGGUACUGGGGAGGUGGAGGAAAGAUGAAACUGUUAAGGAAUUUAGACACAGCAUGUAGUGGUUGGCAGGAAACAGAUGACACUCUCAAACAGGGUAGUUGAGGAGAGCUAAUAAAGGGACCAUUUACCAAGGUGUAGUUAGGAUUAAGAGAAAGCAAACUGGGAUGGUGCUGUGCUAUGGGCUAGCAACAGCAGGAAGUCAUUUCUGUCCCUAGGUCUGAAGAGGGAAGCAGGGGAGCCAACACCAAGGAACCAGAGAUCUUAGAGUCUGAAAGUCUGCAUGAUAGAAGCCAUGGCCUUUAGUAGAGGGAUCUUGCCUACUCUUAGCAGCCUGGCUUGGAGGGGCCUGGGGAAAUAAUACCCCAACCUCUCUCCUCUUCUUCAAUAUUGAUGACUUCCAUUGGUUAAUAUCAAACUGGAAGUUGGAGAGAAAGGGAGUCUAUCUAUACAAGUCAGCACCCUGUAGCCCAGAAGAGAGUAAAAAGGGGGUAAAAAGCAAUUUCCGAGGGACAAACAGAAAACACCCAGCACAGAAGGAGGAACAAACAUUUGGAGGAACAAACAGAAAAUAUCAGAAAACAUUUUAAUCCUGGGUCCUGGGACGUCAUGGAAGGUUUUGAAGUUAGGAGCACCGCCAUCCUCUAGGGGGAGCUCAAGCAUUUCUCUCCACUCAUCCCAAAGGCGGUGCAUCAAAAGAUCAGGGUGAAACUGACUUCAAGGAAAGAGCCCUCGGCUAGAGGAAGAAGCCUGGAGAAGUAAAGGGAUUGCUCCUGGAAUUGGAAAUCUACCCUUUGCACUUCUAUUUACUGCAUUUGGAUUGAUUUGCAAGAAUAACCAUUAAAAUAAUCAAAGCUAAAAGUACAACGGAGUAAGUGUACUCACACCACCCUGUUCCUCCCACUGAAUGCGGCUAAAAAACCUGGGCAGAAUAAGUGGAGCAUCUGAGGACUCUGAAAAGUAAAUAAUAGCAGGCAGAUUGGAGAUGAAGACCAAAAUGGAGUUAAACAAGACCCCACAUCUUAUAACAUGUCAUUCAAAACGUCUAGAAUACAAUCCACAAGUGUGCAGCAUGCAAAGAACCAGGAAGAUCAUGACUCACUUAGGAACUAGCUGACAAAGACUUGCUAGCAGAGCUAUUGUAAAAAUGCUCCACCAAGUAAGGAAAUAAAAUCUUAUAUAGGUGGAAUAACAGAAUGUCUCAGCAAAGAAGUAGAAGAUUUAAAGAAGAACUGUCUGAAAUGUUAGAACUGAAAAAUAUAACUUAAAGAAACUCACUGGAUAGGCUCAAUAGCAGAAAAAAAUUAACAAAGAAAAAAGUGUACUUGGAGAUAGAUCAAUAGAAAGUAUUGAAUUUGCAUAACAGAGAGAGGCUGAGUGCGGUGGCUCAUGCCUGUAAUCCCAGCACUUUUAGAGG